rnacentral:rRNA from 1 species
CCUACGGGUGGCAGCAGUAGGGAAUCUUCCGCAAUGGACGCAAGUCUGAUGGAGCAACGCCGCGUGAGUGAAGAAGGGUUUCGGCUCGUAAAGCUCUGUUGUUGGUGAAGAAGGACAGGGGUAGUAACUGACCUUUGUUUGACGGUAAUCAAUUAGAAAGUCACGGCUAACUACGUGCCAGCAGCCGCGGUAAUACGUAGGUGGCAAGCGUUGUCCGGAUUUAUUGGGCGUAAAGCGAGUGCAGGCGGCUCGAUAAGUCUGAUGUGAAAGCUUUCGGCUCAACCGGAGAAUUGCAUCAGAAACUGUCGAGCUUGAGUACAGAAGAGGAGAGUGGAACUCCAUGUGUAGCGGUGAAAUGCGUAGAUAUAUGGAAGAACACCGGUGGCGAAGGCGGCUCUCUGGUCUGUUACUGACGCUGAGGCUCGAAAGCAUGGGCAGCGAACAGGAUUAGAUACCCGUUAGUC